UACGAAGGGUGCAAGCGUUAAUCGGAAUUACUGGGCGUAAAGGGUGCGUAGGCGGUUCGUUAAGUCUGUCGUGAAAUCCCUCGGCUCAACCGGGGAACUGCGUCCGAUACUGGUGGGCUUGAGUUCGGGAGAGGGAUGUGGAAUUCCAGGUGUAGCGGUGAAAUGCGUAGAUAUCUGGAGGAACACCGGUGGCGAAGGCGGCAUCCUGGACCGACACUGACGCUGAGGCGCGAAAGCCAGGGGAGCAAACGGG
rnacentral:rRNA from 1 species